UGGCUGCGAGGAAGCAAGCUGAGGGUUGACUACUUGUUUGAGAGGAUUUUUCUUUUUUUGCUCAAACAUCAACUUAUAUUUAGCGAGAAUGUUUAACAUGAUUUUAACCUCUGUCGAGAUUCAACCACACACAUACGAAGAGAACAAGUAAUAUUUAGGAAAAAGGAUCCUACGCUAUUCUUCGAUGUAAUUCUGUAAAGUAAACGAGAGCUUUAGGUAAACUGUGUGUGUAUUCAUUAGGAGGAGAUCUCCUUAUAUACAUA
rnacentral:lncRNA from 1 species